CCUUCGAUAGCUCAGUUGGUAGAGCGGUGGACUGUAGAUUCAUUUGGAUGUUGAAAUCCAUAGGUCGCUGGUUCAAAUCCGGCUCGAAGGAUAA
rnacentral:tRNA from 1 species